AUGACAUAUUUACAUCCUUAAAACUAAUAUAAACAUUAGCAACGUAUACAGCACAAUACACAAUGUCUAAUCAUCCAAUGUUUGUUUCCAGUGCCACUGCCUGCGAAAUGGAAAACCACAUUCAGUUCUGCUGAGAGGAGAAACAUUGAUGCAACGACUGAUGGAUUAUUCCUAUUCCUUCGUCCAAAACCCAAUGGCGCCACCAAGGAGAUUACCCAGGAAGUUGGGUACAGUGGCUUAGAAAAUCAAGGAGCAACCAGCUACCUGAACUCAGCUUUGCAGGUCCUCUUUAUGACCAAAGAAUUCAGAGAGGCAGUAGAAAGGUUGCAGAUUACACCAAAUGAUGAUGAGGUACUUUACCAACUGCAACAACUAUUUGAAAAUCUAAAAGCUGAUUACAAAUGUGU